ACUUAUAUAAUAUAAAAAGUAUAAUUAACUUCCAAUUAAUAAGUCUAAAUUUUAGUAUAAGUA
rnacentral:tRNA from 1 species